UACGUAGGGGACUAGCGUUGUUCGGAAUUACUGGGCGUAAAGCGCACGUAGGCGGAUUUGUAAGUCAGGGGUGAAAUCCCGGGGCUCAACCUCGGAACUGCCUUUGAUACUGCAAAUCUCGAGUCCGAUAGAGGUGGGUGGAAUUCCUAGUGUAGAGGUGAAAUUCGUAGAUAUUAGGAAGAACACCGGUGGCGAAGGCGGCCCACUGGAUCGGUACUGACGCUGAGGUGCGAAAGCGUGGGGAGCAAACAGG
rnacentral:rRNA from 1 species